rnacentral:rRNA from 1 species
GAUGAACGCUGGCGGCGUGCUUAACACAUGCAAGUCGAACGAAGCACUCUAUUUGAUUUUCUUCGGAAAUGAAGAUUUUGUGACUGAGUGGCGGACGGGUGAGUAACGCGUGGGUAACCUGCCUCAUACAGGGGGAUAACAGUUGGAAACGACUGCUAAUACCGCAUAAGCGCACAGGAUUGCAUGAUCCGGUGUGAAAAACUCCGGUGGUAUGAGAUGGACCCGCGUCUGAUUAGCCAGUUGGCAGGGUAACGGCCUACCAAAGCGACGAUCAGUAGCCGACCUGAGAGGGUGACCGGCCACAUUGGGACUGAGACACGGCCCAAACUCCUACGGGAGGCAGCAGUGGGGAAUAUUGCACAAUGGGGGAAACCCUGAUGCAGCGACGCCGCGUGAGCGAAGAAGUAUUUCGGUAUGUAAAGCUCUAUCAGCAGGGAAGAAGAAUGACGGUAC